rnacentral:tRNA from 1 species
GGAGAGUUGGCCGAACGGUAAGGCAGCGCGGUGCUAACGCGCCGAAUCCGAAAGGAUGAGCAGGUUCGACUCCUGCACUCUCCG